UGGGGAAUUUUCCGCAAUGGGCGAAAGCCUGACGGAGCAAUACCGCGUGAGGGAGGAAGGCUCUUGGGUUGUAAACCUCUUUUCUCAGGGAAGAAGACAAUGACGGUACCUGAGGAAUAAGCAUCGGCUAACUCCGUGCCAGCAGCCGCGGUAAUACGGAGGAUGCAAGCGUUAUCCGGAAUGAUUGGGCGUAAAGGGUCCGCAGGUGGUAGUGUAAGUCUGCUGUUAAAGAGUCACGCUCAACGUGAUCAAAGCAGUGGAAACUACACAACUAGAGUACGGUAGGGGCAGAAGGAAUUCCUGGUGUAGCGGUGAAAUGCGUAGAUAUCAGGAAGAACACCGGUGGCGAAAGCGUUCUGCUAGACCUGUACUGACACUGAGGGACGAAAGCUAGGGGAGCGAAUGGG
rnacentral:rRNA from 1 species